rnacentral:lncRNA from 1 species
AAAUUUACAAAAAUUAUAUUUUUUGUUGAAUUUUAUUUUUAGUGUUUUAAAGCUUAACGUUUCAAUCAAAUACAAAAAAUUUGUGAUUUACUUUUUCUAUCGAACUAAAGGAUUUAAAAAAAACUACCAUCCUAACCCAAACACAAAAAUCAAACACUCAAAAUGAUUACAACCCAUAGAGAAUGAAGUAUAAAUUAGUAAAAAGAAAAGAAAAAAAAAGAUAAUGAAAUACAAUAUUCCUUGCUACCUUCCCAACGCCUUCC